rnacentral:rRNA from 1 species
UACGUAGGGUGCGAGCGUUAAUCGGAAUUACUGGGCGUAAAGCGAGCGCAGGCGGUUCUGUAAGACAGAUGUGAAAUCCCCGGGCUUAACCUGGGAACUGCAUUUGUGACUGCAGGGCUAGAGUGCGUCAGAGGGGGGUGGAACUCCACGUGUAGCAGUGAAAUGCGUAGAGAUGUGGAAGAACACCGAUGGCGAAGGCAGCCCCCUGGGAUGACACUGACGCUCAUGCUCGAAAGCGUGGGGAGCAAAC